UGCAAGUCGAGCGAACAGAUAAGGAGCUUGCUCCUUUGACGUUAGCGGCGGACGGGUGAGUAACACGUGGAUAACCUACCUAUAAGACUGGGAUAACUUCGGGAAACCGGAGCUAAUACCGGAUAACAUAUUGAACCGCAUGGUUCAAUAGUGAAAGGCGGCUUUGCUGUCACUUAUAGAUGGAUCCGCGCCGUAUUAGCUAGUUGGUAAGGUAACGGCUUACCAAGGCAACGAUACGUAGCCGACCUGAGAGGGUGAUCGGCCACACUGGAACUGAGACACGGUCCAGACUCAUACGGGAGGCAGCAGUAGGGAAUCUUCCGCAAUGGGCGAAAGCCUGACGGAGCAACGCCGCGUGAGUGAUGAAGGUCUUCGGAUCGUAAAACUCUGUUAUCAGGGAAGAACAAAUGUGUAAGUAACUGUGCACAUCUUGACGGUACCUGAUCAGAAAGCCACGGCUAACUACGUGCCAGCAGCCGCGGUAAUACGUAGGUGGCAAGCGUUAUCCGGAAUUAUUGGGCGUAAAGCGCGCGUAGGCGGUUUUUUAAGUCUGAUGUGAAAGCCCACGGCUCAACCGUGGAGGGUCAUUGGAAACUGGAAAACUUGAGUGCAGAAGAGGAAAGUGGAAUUCCAUGUGUAGCGGUGAAAUGCGCAGAGAUAUGGAGGAACACCAGUGGCGAAGGCGACUUUCUGGUCUGUAACUGACGCUGAUGUGCGAAAGCGUGGGGAUCAAACAGGAUUAGAUACCCUGGUAGUCCACGCCGUAACGAUGAGUGCUAAGUGUUAGGGGGUUUCCGCCCCUUAGUGCUGCAGCUACGCAUUAAGCACUCCGCCUGGGGAGUACGACCGCAAGGUUGAAACUCAAGGAUUGACGGGACCGCACAGCGGUGGAGCAUGUGGUUAAUCGAGCACGCGAGAA
rnacentral:rRNA from 1 species